CCGUUUAGCAGCGAUACGUCUGUACCUAAUCUUUCUUUACAUAUUUGUUUAGAAAAUGUUAAACAGUUGUUGAAUCAAAUUGACCUGAUAAUGGCGCAGCGAGGCCCAUACAAGAAGUAUCUUUUGGACGUGGAGACCGAGAUGCCUGCAACUACCAAAAGGCGCAGGUUGCAGGCAAAAGAUGCCCAAACAAUACAUGGCGACAUAUGUUCUGAAAUGGAAUCUCAGGAACCAGCCAAUUCAGAAAAUUUUGAGGUACUUCCAGAAACUGAACAUGAGCAAUACACAGAUUAAGCAGAGAUUGAAGAUGUGAAUGAAUAUCCAGAAGCUGUACCAGAG